rnacentral:rRNA from 1 species
UACAGAGGGGGCUAGCGCUGUUCGGAAUUACUGGGCGUAAAGGGCGCGUAGGCGGCCCGCUAAGUCGAACGUGAAAUCCCCGGGCUCAACCCGGGAACUGCGUCCGAUACUGGCAGGCUUGAAUCCGGGAGAGGGAUGUGGAAUUCCAGGUGUAGCGGUGAAAUGCGUAGAUAUCUGGAGGAACACCGGUGGCGAAGGCGGCAUCCUGGACCGGCAUUGACGCUGAGGCGCGAAAGCUAGGGGAGCGAACGGG